rnacentral:rRNA from 1 species
GUGCCAGCAGCCGCGGUAAGACGUAGGAUGCGAGCGUUGUCCGGAUUUAUUGGGCGUAAAGAGUUCGUAGGUGGUUUGGUAAGUCUGGUGUUAAAGAUCAGGGCUCAACCCUGGGAGUGCACUGGAUACUGUCAGACUGGAGUGCAGUAGAGGCAAGUGGAAUUCCCAGUGUAGCGGUGAAAUGCGUAGAUAUUGGGAAGAACACCGGUGGCGUAAGCGACUUGCUGGGCUGUAACUGACGCUGAGGAACGAAAGCCAGGGGAGCGAAUGGGAUUAGAUACCCCAGUAGUCCUGGCCGUAAACGAUGGAUACUAGGCGUUGCGGGUAUCGACCCCUGCAGUGCCGUAGCAAAACGCGCUAAGUAUCCCGCCUGAGUAGUACGGCCGCAAGGUUGAAACUCAAAGGAAUUGGCGG